UGCGCUCGAGCUGCAGGUCCGCGGGCAGGCCUUCGGGCGGCCAGCCGAUGUCGGGCGGCAGUUCGAAGCCGACCAGCACGC
rnacentral:tRNA from 1 species